rnacentral:lncRNA from 1 species
AUUAAAAACGAGAAAAUGAAAUGUGUACCACAUCAUUAUGCAGUGGUUUUUCAUUCAUGGGGCAUGCACUGCCCCAAAUUGGGUCCAGAGCCCGUCUAAUGCAUGUAAUGAAGAUUGAACUGUACCUUGUAUGCACAAGACUUGUGAAAUAAGGUCACGUAUACAGCUAAAACAGAGCUCACAUGCUAAAAAGAUUUGUUUUUCCAGCUCUAGUAGUUUGUCCGAUAAAGAGAGAUUACUACUUCUAAUCUUGGUUUACCUAUGUCCUUAGCCUUCGUUAGGGCCACCUUGAUACAACCGCAAUAGAUCAAGCAAUUUUCCAUCUUUUCAGAGGUUAACAUGCACUCUUCACUUUUUUUUUUUAACCUUUGAAAUCCUGGUCUGCAUUGUUUUGUGUUUUAUAUGUCUUUAGAAGCAGUAGGCAAAAUGUUGGAAGGCUGCCAUAACCAGGGCUCCAUUUUACCACCGGUCCAGUGCGAUCGCCAAGAAGCGUGCUUCCAAUGACAGCCGCAUUGGCUGCACCCUGCACUUUGCUUUCCACUGAAUGUGAAAGAAUCCCAUUUGACCAGUCCUGCAGGACAUUGCCACAGACAAAUAAUGUCCUCCGUGACACAUUAACCAUAGCAUCUGCCAAGCAAGAGCUUCAUCAAGGGCAAAAUAAUAUGACAAAGAGGACGUCAAAAGACAAACAUCAAUGCCAUUCAUCAUAAAGUAAAUAUAUUACCUAUAAAUGGUAAUAUAUUCUCAACUUUUUUCAGCCUGUGAAUCUACAUAGACUACAGUUGGGAUCAGACAGCAAAAAUGGCUGCAGAGAAUUGUCAUCCAUAGCUUUUCUGGAAGUAAUUGGAAAACCGAGCAACUAAGUGGUGCAAAAAGUAGAGUAUUCAAAUAGCAGUGUAACUUGAAGUUUGUUGCAAGAAGCCUCAUAGAACGGAAGUGUUCAGUUUGAAGAGCUUUGACCUUUAAAAUUAUUUAAUUCCCUAGUAUUGCUAUGCAAUAGAACCCAUGCAGUGCUAUCAGAAUAUGGGUUUGCCAAAUUAGAAGAUGUGUCAGGAAGCUCAUUAAAAACAUGAUUGCAAAGAAGACAUGACAAGUGGAAUCAGAGGUUGAAAACAAUGUAUUAAGACAUAGUAAACUGACAAGAGUCUAUAAUUAGGAUCUGUAAUCCUAUAGUUCUUAAUCCUGUACAUGACUGUACUUGGCAUGACAAUCUGCUGUCUUAACCAGAUUAGACAUCUUGCAUUUCAAGAAAUAAAAGGAAUACAGUUUCAAAGACA